CUUUCUGUGGUUCAUCAUGGCAUGUUUUUAAAACUCAGAAUCAAAUUUUGACCAAUUCUUUCAGAAAGCUGCUAGAAUUAACAGGGAACUUGAACUCGAAGCUCCCAAUGCUGAUCUCGAAGAAGCUGCCAAGGAGGCUGAACAAGUCCUUCAAAGGUUCAACCCUUCACAGCUGAAAGGGAAGACCAAAGGAAGGCCUGUCAUGGGGUUUGAAUUUGGACAUACUCUCCACAAGCGCACAAG